GCCCCUUUUGCCAUAGCUCAGUGGGUAGCACAUCUGUUUUGCACGCAGAAGGCCCCAGGUUCAAUCCCUGACACCUCCAAAUAGGGCU